UUUAACUGAGCGUUCAGUUACUUGACGUAGACCCGAAACCGGGCGACCUACCCAUGAGCAGGAUGAAGCGAAAGUAAAAUUUCGUGGAGGUCCGAACCCACGAGCGUUGAAAAGCUCGGGGAUGACUUGUGGGUAGCGGUGAAAUUCCAAUCGAGCCCGGAGAUAGCUGGUUCUCCCCGAAAUAGCUUUAGGGCUAGCCUCAAGGUGAGAGAUACGGAGGUAGAGCACUGAAUGUCCUAGGGGGUAUUGCACCUACCGAAGACUAUCAAACUCCGAAUGCCGUCAUCUUAUACUUGGGAGUCAGACUGUGGGUGAUAAGAUUCAUAGUCGAAAGGGCAACAGCCCAGAUCGUCAGCUAAGGUCCCUAAAUGUAAGUUAAGUGGUAAAGGAUGUGGGAUUGCACAGACAACCAGGAUGUUGGCUUAGAAGCAGCCACUCAUUCAAAGAGUGCGUAAUAGCUCACUGGUCGAGUGAUCCUGCGCCGAAGAUUUCCGGGGCUAAAACUUACUACCGAAGCUACGGCAUCAGUAAUGAUGGGUAGGGGAGCUUCCCAUACGGGUUGAAGCAUGACCGUAAGGACAUGUGGACAGUAUGGGAGUGAGAAUGUUGGCAUGAGUAGCGAGAUGUGGGUGAGAAUCCCACAGGCCGUAAACCCAAGGUUUCCAGGGGAAGGUUCGUCCGCCCUGGGUUAGUCGGGACCUAAGCUGAGGCCGAAAGGCGUAGGUGAUGGACAACAGGUUGAUAUUCCUGUACUACCGAUAACCGUUUGAGAGAAGGGAUGACACAGUAGGAUAAGCUAAGCACACUGUUGGUUAUGUGUGCCCAAGCAUUGAGGCAGUCAAAGCAGGCAAAUCCGCUUUGAUAAUGCUGGGAUGUGAUGGGGAGCGAAAUUUAGUAGCGAAGUAGCUGAUUUCACACUGUCAAGAAAAGUCUCUAUCGAGGUUAAAGGUACCCGUACCGCAAACCGACACAGGUGGGUGAGGAGAGUAUCCUAAGGCCAGCGAGAGAACUGUUGUUAAGGAACUCGGCAAAAUGACCCCGUAACUUAGGGAUAAGGGGUGCCACCAUCAGGUGGCCGCAGAGAAUAGGCCCAAGCGACUGUUUACCAAAAACAUAGGUUUCUGCUAAGUCGCAAGACGAUGUAUAGGAGCUGACGCCUGCCCGGUGCUGGAAGGUUAAGGGGAUCUGUUAGAGCAAUCGAAGCAGUGAACUUAAGCCCCAGUAAACGGCGGCCGUAACUAUAACGGUCCUAAGGUAGCGAAAUUCCUUGUCGGGUAAGUUCCGACCCGCACGAAAGGCGUAACGAUUUGGGCACUGUCUCAACAACAGACUCGGUGAAAUUGUAAUUCCGGUGAAGAUGCCGGAUACCUGCGACAGGACGGAAAGACCCCAUGGAGCUUUACUGUAGCUUGACAUUGGGUCUUGGUACUACAUGUACAGGAUAGGUGGGAGGCUUUGAAACCAGGACGCCAGUUUUGGCGGAGCCAUCCUUGGGAUACCACCCUUGUAGUACUGGGACUCUAACCAUAGGCCAUGAAUCUGGUCUUGGGACACUGUCAGGUGGGCAGUUUGACUGGGGCGGUCGCCUCCCAAAAGGUAACGGAGGCGCUCAAAGGUUCUCUCAGUACGGUCGGAAAUCGUACGUAGAGUGUAAAGGCAAAAGAGAGCUUGAUUGCAAGACAUACAGGUCGAGCAAGGAUGAAAAUCGGACUUAGUGAUCCGGUGGUUCUGCGUGGAAGGGCCAUCGCUCAACGGAUAAAAGCUACCCUGGGGAUAACAGGCUUAUCUCCCCCAAGAGUCCACAUCGACGGGGAGGUUUGGCACCUCGAUGUCGGCUCAUCACAUCCUGGGGCUGUAGUAGGUCCCAAGGGUUGGGCUGUUCGCCCAUUAAAGUGGUACGCGAGCUGGGUUCAGAACGUCGUGAGACAGUUCGGUCCCUAUCCGUCGCAGGCGUAGGAAAUUUGAGAAGACCUGUCCUUAGUACGAGAGGACCGGGAUGGACG
rnacentral:rRNA from 1 species